AGAGUUUGAUCAUGGCUCAGAUUGAACGCUGGCGGCAGGCCUAACACAUGCAAGUCGAACGGUAACAGGAAGCAGCUUGCUGCUUCGCUGACGAGUGGCGGACGGGUGAGUAAUGUCUGGGAAGCUGCCUGAUGGAGGGGGAUAACUACUGGAAACGGUAGCUAAUACCGCAUAAUGUCGCAAGACCAAAGAGGGGGACCUUCGGGCCUCUUGCCAUCGGAUGUGCCCAGAUGGGAUUAGCUUGUUGGUGGGGUAACGGCUCACCAAGGCGACGAUCCCUAGCUGGUCUGAGAGGAUGACCAGCCACACUGGAACUGAGACACGGUCCAGACUCCUACGGGAGGCAGCAGUGGGGAAUAUUGCACAAUGGGCGCAAGCCUGAUGCAGCCAUGCCGCGUGUAUGAAGAAGGCCUUCGGGUUGUAAAGUACUUUCAGCGGGGAGGAAGGGAGUAAAGUUAAUACCUUUGCUCAUUGACGUUACCCGCAGAAGAAGCACCGGCUAACUCCGUGCCAGCAGCCGCGGUAAUACGGAGGGUGCAAGCGUUAAUCGGAAUUACUGGGCGUAAAGCGCACGCAGGCGGUUUGUUAAGUCAGAUGUGAAAUCCCCGGGCUCAACCUGGGAACUGCAUCUGAUACUGGCAAGUUUGAGUCUCGUAGAGGGGGGUAGAAUUCCAGGUGUAGCGGUGAAAUGCGUAGAGAUCUGGAGGAAUACCGGUGGCGAAGGCGGCCCCCUGGACGAAGACUGACGCUCAGGUGCGAAAGCGUGGGGAGCAAACAGGAUUAGAUACCCUGGUAGUCCACGCCGUAAACGAUGUCGACUUGGAGGUUGUGCCCUUGAGGCGUGGCUUCCGGAGCUAACGCGUUAAGUCGACCGCCUGGGGAGUACGGCCGCAAGGUUAAAACUCAAAUGAAUUGACGGGGGCCCGCACAAGCGGUGGAGCAUGUGGUUUAAUUCGAUGCAACGCGAAGAACCUUACCUGGUCUUGACAUCCACGGAAGUUUUCAGAGAUGAGAAUGUGCCUUCGGGAACCGUGAGACAGGUGCUGCAUGGCUGUCGUCAGCUCGUGUUGUGAAAUGUUGGGUUAAGUCCCGCAACGAGCGCAACCCUUAUCCUUUGUUGCCAGCGGUCCGGCCGGGAACUCAAAGGAGACUGCCAGUGAUAAACUGGAGGAAGGUGGGGAUGACGUCAAGUCAUCAUGGCCCUUACGACCAGGGCUACACACGUGCUACAAUGGCGCAUACAAAGAGAAGCGACCUCGCGAGAGCAAGCGGACCUCAUAAAGUGCGUCGUAGUCCGGAUUGGAGUCUGCAACUCGACUCCAUGAAGUCGGAAUCGCUAGUAAUCGUGGAUCAGAAUGCCACGGUGAAUACGUUCCCGGGCCUUGUACACACCGCCCGUCACACCAUGGGAGUGGGUUGCAAAAGAAGUAGGUAGCUUAACCUUCGGGAGGGCGCUUACCACUUUGUGAUUCAUGACUGGGGUGAAGUCGUAACAAGGUA
rnacentral:rRNA from 1 species